rfam:Actinobacteria bacterium OK006 ctg59, whole genome shotgun sequence.
GUCACCGCGAGGUGGGGUCCGGAGGAAGCCGGAGGCAAAACCGGGUACCGAUGUACAAGAACCGCGUAGAGGCGGGAUGGACUGGGUCAGGCGGCUCAAUACGCCGAUGCCCGUUCUCACCAAGAAGGCCAUCGCGUAGACGCGGCGGCGAUCCGGGGAAAGCGGCCGUA